AUACGGAGGGUGCAAGCGUUACUCGGAAUCACUGGGCGUAAAGCGCGCGCAGGCGGUCUUUUAAGUUGGAUGUGAAAGCCUACGGCUCAACCGUAGAACUGCAUCCAAAACUAUUAGACUAGAGUGUGGGAGAGGAAGAUGGAAUUAGUUGUGUAGGGGUAAAAUCCGUAGAGAUAACUAGGAAUACCAAAAGCGAAGGCAAUCUUCCGGAACACUACUGACGCUGAGGCGCGAAAGCGUGGGGAGCAAACAGGAUUAGAAACCCUAGUAGUCC
rnacentral:rRNA from 1 species